AUACAAGGCGAUUCCCUCCCGUCUUUAAACAUGCAGCACACACGGACAUAGUUACGAUUAGACCCACAACCUUCACUGCGUACCCACACACGUCUACAGGACACACAAUGGGCAGGGUACACACAAUCUUCAAGCUGAAAAGAGACACUCAAAUAGGCACACAGCAGCCCAUAGACUCGUAGUCCUAACGUAUACACAAACAUGUACAGAAUCACAAUUACCUUUAGGCAUCAUACAAGUACUCAGACACAAACCCAGAAACUGCAUUUGGACUCCCAUCCCUCAUGGUAAAAACAGGGACACAUAUACAGGCACGCAGCAGCCUCCGGAGCACCGAUACUUAAUUGCUCUUGGGCACAUGCCUCUCAUAGCUCAGAGAAGACAGUAACACGAGAACAUACCAGAAUGACUUGACAGGCAGACCUGAGCAUACUUAAGGACCCGAAGGAGUAUACUAACUUUCUCAAAAAUCCAGCUUAAGCAAAUUUAAUGUCUGUAUUACACAGACUAAAGGUACACAGGCACAUUUGGAACCAAGUCUCAUCAGAAUCAUGGGAAUUACAUGGGUGGACAGGUCUCACUUGCCCUCUGGCUUCUGACUGAGCUUGGCUCAUGAGAGUCAGAGGCAGAUCUGAAGGUGGAAGGAAAGUGUGGGUGGGGUUCCCCCUCACCAGCUUGCUGAGCUGAGCUGAAGUUCUGGCAAUGGCUGUGCUUCUCCAUGGCUACACCUCCAGGCUCCUGCGCUGGACCUCAGACUUAGGGAUGGCAACCUCUCCCUGCUGUUGCUGGUCUUUAGGUCACGUCAUGCAGCUGGUAAAGUCUACACUGACAUCCAAGGCGCCUUCAGGACCUGCAGCCCAGCCCCACCUUGCGUAUAUGCCUGGAAUGCAUGGAACCGCAUAGGAGCUCACCAAGUAAAGAGAGAAAACCUCAAGCUGUAGUCAUUGGCCCCAGUGCAGGUGUCUAAAGGCCCAGGCUCCAUUCCGGGCUUAGCAAGUCAACUAACCACUGUGAGAAUCCAUGUAAUACCUGUCUGUGGUAAAGAAGAAGAAGGAGGAGGUGAAGAGUGCACAAAUAUCCUGGAAUUCUUUCCUCAUCAGUGUAUGUGUGCUGCUCACCAACAGAUGUAUAUACCACAGAUCUACACCAUUCAUUAAAUGGCUGCAUGGUAUCCCAUUACCUGGAUAUGUUACCACGUGUUAAUCAGUCCCCAUUGGGUAGAUAUUUAGGCGGUCCUAGGUUUUGGCUAAUACAACAAUGAAUGUCUGCGUAUGAGCAAAGCUGUUUGAUAAAUCCCUAAGAAAGAGCUAAAUCACUGGCUAAAGGCAGCAUGCAUUUUUGAUUUUGAUAUUAAUCCAAAGAUGAUGCAUCAGUCUCCACUCACAUAGUAUUUCCUCACACUUUCACAACACUGAGUGUUACUAAUCCUUUUGAUAUUUUUAUUUUUGCCAAAUUUGAGAGGUGGGAAACAUCUCAUUAGGUUUACUCAUUUAAUUAUGAAUGGGAUUCAGCCUCUUCUCACGUUUAUUAGUCAUGCAUAAGCUGUUCUUUCUGUGACCUGCCUGUUUCUUCUUUUGUGGUUUGAUUUGAGAUCCUUGGCAGUCACAAGGCCCUUCCCUAGACCUGCUCUGCACACACCUGUAGUCCCUCCCCCUGUCCUGCUCGGUUCUCUACUGCCGCCUAGUGACAGGGGUUGGAUUUACCACAGUUCCUCGCAGAUGCUCUAGUUGCAGGCUCCACGCUGGGGGUUUAACUCCCAGUUGGAAUCAUGCCCUUAGUUCCCAAAUAAAAAAAUCAGGACCUCUAGUUAAAUAUGAAUUUCAUAUAAACGACCAAUAACUUUUUGGUUGGUACCUACUUAUUGCUAAAAACUAUGCAUGGUUUAUCUGAAAUCCAAAUUUAACUAGGUGUCAGGUAAUUUAUCAGGCAACCGUAUUCUAAGGCCUCCCGCUAAAUCUGGGUCCCCAUCGUCACCACGCCUUACCUCCUUUAUUCUUAGCAAGUUCUACUAUGCCACAUUCCAACCUGGCAGUUUUCAAAACUAUGGUUGCAGGUGAUACAUAAAUCACUGUGGUUAAGACCUGGGCUCUGGAUUUGAAUCCUGACUCCGGCCACUUACAAGGUGUGAAAUCUCGUGAAAGUAACAUCUUCUCUGGAGCUCAGGUUUCCUCAUCAAGAGAAUAAUAAUAUUUUCCUCAUUGGGUUGCUUUGAUGAUUUCUGACAUUAAAGCUACCAUUUAUUAAGCACUUUA